GAGUAACGCGUAGGUAACCUGCCUAUUAGAGGGGGAUAACUAUUGGAAACGAUAGCUAAUUCCGCAUAACAGUAUGUAACACAUGUUAGAUGCUUGAAAGAUGCAAUUGCAUCGCUAGUAGAUGGACCUGCGUUGUAUUAGCUAGUAGGUAGGGUAAAGGCCUACCUAGGCAACGAUACAUAGCCGACCUGAGAGGGUGAUCGGCCACACUGGGAGUGAGACACGGCCCAGACUCCUACGGGAGGCAGCAGUAGGGAAUCUUCGGCAAUGGGGGGAACCCUGACCGAGCAACGCCGCGUGAGUGAAGAAGGUUUUCGGAUCGUAAAGCUCUGUUGUUAAGGAAGAACGAGUGUGAGAA
rnacentral:rRNA from 1 species